GUGUGCACUUCGUGAGCUACGCAGACCAAGAUGUAGGUGGUGACCAUCACGUUCAGCACCGGGUAGUUGGGAAUGAGAACCAAUACGCCAUGCGUGUCGGCCGCCAGCCAGAUGUGAUAUUGACCUGAUGUAACAAUUUCCCGGAAAUGCGACCAAACCAGGCGAAAAAUGAGGAAUAACGAACUCUUAACGGUCCAAAAACGUUGCGCAACACAAUGAAACUGAUAAUCUGUCGAUCAAAAAGUAAAUAAAUUAAUUAAAAAGGUUAGAAAUUAAAUCAAGGUUCUAUUUUGAUACCGGUAAAAAGGCUAGAUAGGAAUGGACUUCGUUGCAUUCGGGUUUGCUGUGACAAGUGAUGGUGAAGGCCGUGUAACCGCCCAGUCCAAUCAAGGCCGCCAAUACAACGAGAAAACGAAUUUUCGUCCGGCUCAACAAGUGCUGACGCGUGCUGUCAUCAAUGAGGCCAAACUUUUGGGCGUUGAGGUACAAGAAACCAAAGAUCAUGCCAUAACAAAUGCUGUACAGCACACACACGCCCAGUCGAUAAGGAAAAGAAUAAAAAGAAAAUUGAUGAUUCAACCGAUAGGCGACGGGUAAUCGAUAUAUGCAAGCAGACCUGUAUCGAUCCAGCGACCAGCGGAACCACCACUCGUGAAUCUCGUCACUGCUGGUGACAAACAAAGCCUUCCACGGGCGGAUGAGAAAAAUGGUCUCAAAGAAAACCUGCAACAACAAAAGAGAAUGGUGAUGGCCCCUAUCAACGUGCAGAAUUUGAUGAUAAUGUAAAGGUAGGCGAAGGAAUUGGCAUCGCAAAUGGCGGCACUGACUUUCGGCGGAACGGCCAGGACGAUGUAAACAACGAGGUACCAGAAUGAGACUAAAGGCACGAAAUAGUACGACUGAUACGGGCGAUUCAUGCACAGACAAAUCACCACUGUCAUCAAAUUCAUCCGAAAUAAAACCUGCAAUAAAAGAAAGAAUUGAUUACAGAGUUUCAAUUCAAUUCGACCCGGA